AUCCAGCUGACGAGUCCCAAACAGAACGAAACGUGCGUCCUGGAU
rnacentral:hammerhead_ribozyme from 1 species